GAUGAACGCUGGCGGCGUGCCUAACACAUGCAAGUCGAGCGGGAACCUGAGGAGGGGUAACCCUCUUCAGGGGAGAGCGGCGAACGGGUGAGUAACACGUGGGCAACCUGCCCCGGACUCCGGGAUAACCCAGGGAAACCUGAGCUAAUACCGGAUACUCCGGCGCGAUCGCAUGGUCACGCCGGGAAAGCUCCGACGGCCCGGGAUGGGCCCGCGGCCUAUCAGCUUGUUGGUGGGGUAACGGCCCACCAAGGCGACGACGGGUAGCUGGUCGGAGAGGACGGCCAGCCACACUGGGACUGAGACACGGCCCAGACUCCUACGGGAGGCAGCGGUGGGGAAUAUUGCGCUAAUGCGCGAAAGCGUGACGCAGCGACGCCGCGUGGGGGAUGAAGGCCCUCGGGUCGUAAACCCCUUUCGCUAGGGACGAAGGGAAACUGACGGUACCUGGAGAAGAAGUCCCGGCUAACUACGUGCCAGCCGCCGCAGUAA
rnacentral:rRNA from 1 species